AUGGAGUACCUGAGGAGCAUAUUGGACGAGGGCAACAGAAAUGAUGUGAAUACUGGCACACCAUCAUUUGUUCCUAUGCCGACGUAUUUUUCUGGGGCGCGGCAAUGGUUUAUAGAUCAAGUUCAAGACCCUAAACCAAUAAUAAAUCCCAAAGGCGUACCAGCCAAAGAAUCGAAUAAGAGGUUGAAGCCAUUCCUGGAGAAUUUGAAAGCAAAAAAGAAAACAUUGAAGAAAGUUCAUGGUCAGUUGAGUAGGGGGAGGAAGAAAAAAGUGAACAAUACUGUGGAAGAAGUAGAAGAAGAAGAAGAAGAAGAGGCAGAAGAAGAGGAUCGUGCUAAGAAGAGGAAACCGGUGAAGAAAGCUUCAGCAAAGGUGACUGAAGUUAUUAUGAUGACUCGGGGGAGAAAGAGAAAAGAGAACAAUGACGAAGUGUGUGCUAAGAACAAAAGACCUUUCAAGAAAACGGCUGGAAAGUCUAAGUAG
rnacentral:rRNA from 1 species